UGCUGUUCCCAGCUCCUGGGUUACUCCUCCUACUCCUCCUCAUGCAGAUCCAUUUCACCUAACUCGAAUAUAUUCUCAAGACUCAGGUGAGAUGACACUUCCUCCAGGAAGCCUUCACUGACUUCCUUCACUAUCACAUUGAUCAUACCAGACGGAAAGCUCCAUGAGGACAGGCACCAUGGCUGUCACAACUCACUUUGGACUGUCUGUAUCCAAAAAAGAACUGGCAAUAGAAUAUGGGUUGUAAAUCCCUCCAGAAAGAAUAAAAGGCAUAGAAAGACUUCUCCUCUCCAUGCUGAUUUGAGUCUUCUUCUUAGGCCCAGCGUAUGACUCUGUAUCAUAUACACAUUAACUACAUCCUGAGUUUCUAGAAGCCAUGCUUUUAAUUUACAUGGUUAUAAUAUUGAACUCAAAUCUGAUAUUUCCACUGAGCUUUAACAUUUCCUUUUCUCGUUCGUUCUUUUUUCACUUUCACAAUAACCAUUAGGACAUCACUAUCCUCAUUUUACACAGGAAAAAUGAGACAGAAAGACCUGAGUUAAGUUUCUUGGACAACCAAGUGCAAAUUGCAAGUCUCUAAAUGAGUCUCCAAUCUCUCAGCCUAGGACUGUUUCUCAGAAGGAAGUCAGAUGAACGAACACUCUAAUUACUAAAAAUUUUGCUUUAAAAAUGCAGGUUGCCUUUCAUAGAUGACUGAUGCUUUCACUUCAUCACCCAGGCAUCUUGGUGAUCUUCUCCUGGCUCCCCGAUCCAGGACUGACUCCUCUUCCUGUCCACUUCCAUCAAUACACGCGCCUUCAAAAGGCAGGAGGAAGGGAGGCACAGGGUGGAGGCUGCAGUGGCCAGAGAAGCAGGUCGGGCAUGGAGCUGAAUCAUAAUAAAGACCAUUCAUUCAUUUGUUCAUUCCACAAAUAUUCUCCCAGGGUCCGCUGUGUGCCUGGCAGGCUUCUACAGCCAGCAUCAGCUAGAAAACUGGCCUUGCUCAACGCAAAGUGACGAUAUGAGAUUCAUUGUCCACAAGCCGUUAGAAGCUUCACAAUGGUGGUGCAGAGCGUUAAACCAACUGCGGAUCCUUCUGAGCAGGGACACCCUUCUCAGCCCUUCUGAGCCCAGCCCAAUAGCACUGGGCUGGUGGGGCCAGCCCUAUCUGGGUUUGGGGAUACGGUCGUGAACACAUCUGAACAAACAUGCCUGCCUUCAGGGGACCUCACAGUUUGAUGGAGAGAGUUGUUGUUGUUGUUCACCCACUGUCCAACUCUUUGCGACCCCAUGAACUGCAGCACACCAGGCUUCCCUGUCCUUCACUAUCUUUCGGAGUUUGCUCA
rnacentral:lncRNA from 1 species